rnacentral:lncRNA from 1 species
GAACAAAAGUCCGCGCAUUGAGAAACCGAAAAAGCAACUCAAACUGGAGACUCGGACCAGCCCUUUUGCCCCUACUAGCCGUAUAAUCAUGGGUAUAAUUUCCUCCAUACCCGUACCCAUAAUUCUUGGCGUACCCAUGAUUCUGAUUACAACCAGUAUUCCAGGAGGAGGCGGAGGAAGAAGAGGAGGUUCCGUAGCGGGAGAUAUUGUAGUCGGCACGCUUGCGAUCAUCGGUGAGUAUCUCGUAGGCUUCGGAAAGCUGCUUGAAUUUGACGGUGGCUGUGUCCCUAAGAUGUUUGGGGGAAUCGGCAUGCUUAUCUGGGUGAAAUUGCAUUGCCAAGCUUCGAAAGGCUUGCUUGAUUUCUUCUUUGCUCGCGUUCCUCUGGACUCCCAGAAUCUUGUAGUGAUCCAUUAUCCACCAGUAUAGUAUGUGU